GCGAGUGAAGCGGCAAAAGCUCAAAUUUGAAAUCUGGCUCCUUUAGGGGUCCGAGUUGUAAUUUGUAGAGGAUGCUUCGGGAGCGGCCACGGCUUAAGUGCCUUGGAACAGGACGUCAUAGAGGGUGAGAAUCCCGUCUUGAGUCGUUGGUCCGCGCCCAUGUGAAGCUCCUUCGACGAGUCGAGUUGUUUGGGAAUGCAGCUCUAAGCGGGUGGUAAAUUUCAUCUAAAGCUAAAUAUUGGCCGGAGACCGAUAGCGCACAAGUAGAGUGAUCGAAAGGUUAAAAGCACCUUGAAAAGGGAGUUAAACAGCACGUGAAAUUGUUGAAAGGGAAGCGCUUGCGGCCAGACUCAGAUACAGGGUUCAGCGGGUGCGUGUCACCUGUGCAUUCUCUGUUUUCUGGGCCAGCAUCAGUUUUGACGGCCGGUCAAAGGCCUCUGGAAUGUGUCGUCUUUCGGGACGUCUUAUAGCCAGGGGUGCAAUGCGGCCUGUUGGGACUGAGGAACGCGCU
rnacentral:rRNA from 1 species